rnacentral:rRNA from 1 species
AGCAUAUAAGUAAGCGGGGAGGGACAAGAAACUAAACAGGAUCCCCAUAGUCAAUGGCGAAUGAACAGGGAUGAGCUCAGCAUGGAAAUUGGGGCCUGUGGCUUUGACUUGUAAUCUUGUGAGGCAUUGCCAACAGAGGCGCAGAUGUAAGUCUCUUGGAAAAGAGCAUCAAUGAGGGUGAGAGUCCUGCUUGUCAUUUGCAGCCCCCCUGUGCACGGUGUGCCUUCUAAGAGUCACGUUCCUCGGGAUUGGAGCGCAAAGUGGGUGGUAACUUUCAUCUGAAGCUAAACAAUGGUUUGGGACCGAUAGGAAACAAGUACCAUGAGGGAAAGGUGAAAAGGACUUUGGAAAGAGAGUUAAAAGUGCCUGAAAUUGCUGAAGGGGAAGCGAAUGGAACCAGUGGUGCUGGGUGAGAUUGUCACACGCUGCAGGGAUUGGUUGCUGCAUCAGCGCAAGCGAUCUAGCGAUUGUUGAAUUGUAAGUGUGUGGUGUGUCUUGCCUUGUGUGUCAUUGCUGGGUUUAUGCAUUAAGACAAUUCAAAGUGCAUGGCAAUAUGUUUCUGAAUCUAUGAAUGUGUUUUGUUAUGUUUAUGCAUAAGCUUCCUACUCUAUGUCUGGCUGCAGUGCUUGCCGUCCCCAUUUUUUGGAUAGAUGAGCUGAGCAUGUCCUUCUGCACAGAUCUUGGCUAAAUGUCUAUCAACCGCUUGAA